AAUAUCCUUUGCUCUAAAUAUAUUUUGAGUUUAUCUCUUUAGGCAUACUUGUGAGCCAGCUUAUUGGUUCCCCCAAAAUCAAUCAUUAUGUGAUCUUUUACAUGCUUCUUUUCUCGUUUUCUACACAGAAUUGUAUUACUUGCCCUACAAUUCUUCUUCAGCUUCAGAUCUGUUCAGAAUGAUGUUUUUUUGGCCUUGCUUGAGAUAAUUUAAAGAACAUUCCCCAGACAAUUCAGAAAGUUCACUUCCAAAUACUUGGAAUAAUGCCAUCACCAUUAAACAAAGUGGAUAACUUUCAAGGUUUCUCCUCUUCAGCCCGUCGGGCACCACCGUUGCUGGCUGAACAAAGGCAGUGA
rnacentral:lncRNA from 1 species